rnacentral:ncRNA from 1 species
UUGGGAGUGUUCGAGAGGCCUCCCAAUCUCUUUCCGUAUAUUUAGUUCUAGAAAGAGAUUAAUACCACAAUUUAAAAUAUUCGAAUGAAUAGUAGAAUAUGUUUACCUUGAAGUAACAAGGUACUCAAGAGCCUUGAGCCAGAGUGGAAAAUUCUGAGCCACUGAUCA